rnacentral:hammerhead_ribozyme from 1 species
AUCUAGCUAACGCGUCCCAAAUAGGACGAAACGCGCAUCAAACUGGAU